AUGGCCUUCUGUAACUCCUCCUUCAUCAUCAUCCAUUGGUUAAUGUUCUGUGAGAUGGAAUUUUCAGUAACGAACAUCAAUGGUAUGCCCUCAUGUGGCAGGUGUUGCAGCCUUAUUAAAUCACCUCAUCCAAAUUGGACCACUGCUGCCAUUAGGUCUGCUCUCAUGAUCCAGCAAGUACACAACAAUGGACAAUAUAAUUGCUGGUUGAUCAUCAAGGUAGCUGAUCCCUUUGACAUAUGUGCUGGCCACAUAAACCCUUUAAGAGCACUUGAUCCAGGACCAAUCUAUGUCAUAAAACAAUUGAUCAUUUUCCUAUGCAAACUAGGCUUUCAAUCACUUACCUAUCAAUCACACUCUCAAAUAUUGAUUAUGUUUUGA